AAAUUCAAGAGAAAGAUCAUGGCUCAGAUUGAACGCUGGCGGCAGGCCUAACACAUGGUAGUCGAACGGUAACAGGAAGCAGCUUGCUGCUUCGCUGACGAGUGGCGGACGGGUGAGUAAUGUCUGGGAAACUGCCUGAUGGAGGGGGAUAACUACUGGAAACGGUAGCUAAUACCGCAUAACGUCGCAAGACCAAAGAGGGGGACCUUCGGGCCUCUUGCCAUCGGAUGUGCCCAGAUGGGAUUAGCUUGUUGGUGGGGUAACGGCUCACCAAGGCGACGAUCCCUAGCUGGUCUGAGAGGAUGACCAGCCACACUGGUUCUGAGACACGGUCCAGACUCCUACGGGAGGCAGCAGUGGGGAAUAUUGCAGUAUGGGCGCAAGCCUGAUGCAGCCAUGCCGCGUGUAUGAAGAAGGCCUUCGGGUUGUAAAGUACUUUCAGCGGGGAGGAAGGGAGUAAAGUUAAUACCUUUGCUCAUUGACGUUACCCGCAGAAGAAGCACCGGCUAACUCCGUGCCAGCAGCCGCGGUAAUACGGAGGGUGCAAGCGUUAAUCGGAAUUACUGGGCGUAAAGCGCACAUAGGCGGUUUGUUAAGUCAGAUGUGAAAUCCCCGGGCUCAACCUGGGAACUGCAUCUGAUACUGGCAAGCUUGAGUCUCGUAGAGGGGGGUACUAUUCCAGGUGUAGCGGUGAAAUGCGUAGAGAUCUGGAGGAAUACCGGUGGCGAAGGCGGCCCCCUGGACGAAGACUGACGCUCAGGUGCGAAAGCGUGGGGAGCAAACAGGAUUAGAUACCCUGGUAGUCCACGCCGUAAACGAUGUCGACUUGGAGGUUGUGCCCUUGAGGCGUGGCUUCCGGAGCUAACGCGUUAAGUCGACCGCCUGGGGAGUACGGCCGCAAGGUUAAAACUCAAAUGAAUUGACGGGGGCCCGCACAAGCGGUGGAGCAUGUGGUUUAAUUCGAUGCAACGCGAAGAACCUUACCUGGUCUUGACAUCCACGGAAGAAAUCAGAGAUGAGAAUGUGCCUUCGGGAACCGUGAGACAGGUGCUGCAUGGCUGUCGUCAGCUCGUGUUGUGAAAUGUUGGGUUAAGUCCCGCAACGAGCGCAACCCUUAUCCUUUGUUGCCAGCGGUCCGGCCGGGAACUCAAAGGAGACUGCCAGUGAUAAACUGGAGGAAGGUGGGGAUGACGUCAAGUCAUCAUGGCCCUUACGACCAGGGCUACACACGUGCUACAAUGGCGCAUACAAAGAGAAGCGACCUCGCGAGAGCAAGCGGACCUCAUAUUGUGCGUCGUAGUCCGGAUUGGAGUCACCAACUCGACUCCAUGAAGUCGGAAUCGCUAGUAAUCGUGGAUCAGAAUGCCACGGUGAAUACGUUCCCGGGCCUUGUACACACCGCCCGUCACACCAUGGGAGUGGGUUGCAAAAGAAGUAGGUAGCUUAACCUUCGGGAGGGCGCUUACCACUUUGUGAUUCAUGACUGGGGUGAAGUCGUAACAAGGUAACCGUAGGGGAACCUGCGGUUAU
rnacentral:rRNA from 1 species